CUCCCUCCCUCGGCCUCUCGGAUGAGUUGUCCGUGUUGCCCGCUGCCCUCCCUGAGACUGAGCUCUUGGCUCCUGCAGCGUCUGCCGUCCUUGUCUUUGUGGCUCCAUCCUGCCUUCUGGGAACAGCACCCCUCUCAGGAGAGGCCCUCUCCUUCCCUCCAGCCGUGUGGUGAUGUUAUCCUCCGACCUGCAGUUCCAGAGCAACUCCAUGACAUAGCCUUUAUGUACAGACGAGGCCACCAACACUUGCUCAUGGAGACACAGCUGGAGAGCAGCAGCACCAGGAUUCAAACCCACCCGGGCAGUGAGAAGCCUGAUGCUCUCACCUUCCACCCAAUGCUGCCUGUCUUCCCAACAAGCCCUGCUGCUGCUACCCUCAUUUGACCGGCUCCUCCAUCUUCUCAGACUCCUCUGCAGACGUGUGGCAUUGCAGCAUUGCUCUUGCUGCAGAUAUCAGGCUUCUUGGUCAGUUCUGCUUUGGUGUGGGGCUUUCUGCUAAGAUGCACCAGAGACGUUGUCACUGUGACCAACACAGCACUUCCUGCAGUCCAUCUUCCAUGCAGUGAUAUGGGUGCCUCAAGGCUGUCUGGAGGAGCUGCCUUCUAUAGAAACCCAGGAGGACAAGGAGCCCAUGAAGGGAGCUCCCAUCUCAUGGAAGCCCCUCCAGAGAGCAGUGUCAAAAGACACAUCACUCGGGAAGCAUCUUACGGCACGAAGGCCUCUGUCAAACUGCCUGAUGUGAACCCACUUCAACCACAUGAAGAAAAUCGAUUUAUCGACAUGGAAGGAUAGCUUUGGCAGCCCUGGAAAAAAACACUGUGUCUUGGAUACUUAAUCAAAUAAAUCAACUUGGAGGCUCCACGGGAUUCCCCAAGUAAAGAAUUGGUUUGCUUAUUCUGCAGCUUAUAAAAUUUCCCUCUCCCCCUCAGAGGGAUCAUAGGCGACAAAACCCAAAUGUUCCAGAAGCCGGACACAGGUAUCUUGUGGUAUGGAAGCCAAAGGACCAGGACCCACUCCCAGAUAACCCCAUGGCCUUGAAGACACCUGGACUGGGCUGCUGGGGCCGGACCUGUGCCCACCUCGUGAUGCCUGCCCAGCCAGCUCGAACAAUUCACCCUGCUGAUUUGCUGACCCCAGGAUUCUGAUCCUGUUCCCUCACACUGUUCUGUCAGCCUCGGUGACCUUCCUGGCUCUCUGCCCGCACCUGCCCAGUACCAAGGACUCUGCGUAGCGCCUCUGCCUUGCCUGUUCUCACUGCCAGUGCCCUGGUGGGACAAUUUCACGGGAAGAUAGAGUCCAUAUGUUAGAGUAGGAAAUCUAAAGAGAUGCUGUUUUCUGCCUAAUCUGUUUUCUCCCCAUGGGUCAAUUUGGCUACACUUUUAUUUUGAAAUAAAAGAAUCCAGGAACAAAUGAGCCAGCACCUUAUUAUUGAGAACCAUUUGCAGAAAGUCCCACAGAGCCGCUCCAAGGUCAAAACUGUCUGUUCUGCUUCAUUCCGACAGGAUGAAAAUCACAAAAUCGCAAAAAGUCUGGGCAGAAGAUGGCAUCUUCUCUUCAACUGAUUGUGGAAGUUAAGAGUUCUCUCUGCAGCUCAAAUCCCCAAGCCAGGCACAUGUGUGCAUCUAAGAAACAGUGAUGGUGGGAGUUGGCUGGAGUGGUCAGGAAAACCACUAGAACCCUGAGACUCAUUCUUGGCUCUCUCCUUUCUGAUCCCAGAUUUUCAUGUUUCAAAAAGUGCCAUCUGCUCUUCCUCUAACUUUCAUGUUGCAGAAAAAUAAUUUUGAUUCUCAAAA